AUUGAACGCUGGCGGCAGGCCUAACACAUGCAAGUCGAACGGUAACAGGAAACAGCUUGCUGUUUCGCUGACGAGUGGCGGACGGGUGAGUAAUGUCUGGGAAACUGCCUGAUGGAGGGGGAUAACUACUGGAAACGGUAGCUAAUACCGCAUAACGUCGCAAGACCAAAGAGGGGGACCUUCGGGCCUCUUUCCAUCGGAUGUGCCCAGAUGGGAUUAGCUAGUAGGUGGGGUAACGGCUCACCUAGGCGACGAUCCCUAGCUGGUCUGAGAGGAUGGCCAGCCACACUGGAACUGAGACACGGUCCAGACUCCUACGGGAGGCAGCAGUGGGGAAUAUUGCACAAUGGGCGCAAGCCUGAUGCAGCCAUGCCGCGUGUAUGAAGAAGGCCUUCGGGUUGUAAAGUACUUUCAGCGGGGAUGAAGGGAGUAAAGUUAAUACCUUUGCUCAUUGACGUUACCCGCAGAAGAAGCACCGGCUAACUCCGUG
rnacentral:rRNA from 1 species